AACCCUGUGGUGUAGUGGUAGCACGCGUCACCUGUGGUAUGGACGAAACACGGAUUCGACUCCCGUCUGAGGCCGCA